CGCCUGUUUAUCAAAAACAUCGCCUCUUGCUAAGCACAGUAUAAGAGGUCCCGCCUGCCCAGUGAUCAUUUUCAACGGCCGCGGUAUUAUGACCGUGCAAAGGUAGCGUAAUCACUUGUCUUUUAAAUAAAGACCCGUAUGAAAGGCAAAACGAAAGUUCAACUGUCUCUUUGAUCUUAUCUGUGAAAUUUAUUUCUCCGUGCAGAAGCGGAGAUAGUUAUAUAAGACGAGAAGACCCUAUGGAGCUUCAAAUACAAAACCAACUACAACCACACCCUUAGCCAACAGGCAAAAAAUUAAUAAAUGUAAUUAUGGUUUAAAUUUUCGGUUGGGGCGACCACGGAGUAAAAAUUAACCUCCACGACAUGUAAUUUAGAACAACACUUCGAAAACUAAAACAUUUAUUUUUGAUGAUCCACUAAGUGACCAACGAACCAAGUUACCCUAGGGAUAACAGCGCAAUCCUUUCUAAGAGUUCAUAUCGACGAAUGGGUUUACGACCUCGAUGUUGGAUCAGGACACCCAAAUGGUGCAGCCGCUAUUAAAGGUUCGUUUGUUCAACGAUUAAAGUCCUACGUGAUCUGAGUUCAGACCGG
rnacentral:rRNA from 1 species